rnacentral:rRNA from 1 species
UACGUAGGGGGCAAGCGUUGUCCGGAUUUAUUGGGCGUAAAGAGCGUGUAGGCGGCCACACAGGUCAGCUGUGAAAACUCGAGGCUCAACCUCGAGACGUCGGUUGAAACCGUAUGGCUAGAGUCCGGAAGAGGAGAGUGGAAUUCCCGGUGUAGCGGUGAAAUGCGUAGAUAUCCGCAGGAACAUCCGAGGCGAAAGCGGCUUGCUGGAUCGCAACUGACGCUGAGGGACGAAAGCUAGGGGAGCAAACAGG